CUGGUGUUAAGGCUGGAAUUUCAGAAGGACGUGUGGAGUUCCUGCUCUUAGACAUUACACAGUGAGUCAAGAAGGAGAAACGAGAUCUAAAAUCAAUCUCAUCUUUUGCAUUUGCUGCCUGGCACUCAGUUAGCAGAGGACCAAUGUGACAAGCCCCUGCAUUGCUGCAUUGGAGCCAGCAAAGCUAGAAGCUUGCAGAGUUGAAGUCCCUCAAACCCAACAACUCCGUGUUACUUCGUGCUGGUGUUGUGUCUGACACAUGCGUAUGAGUGAAGGCUUAUUGCAUUACCACCUUUGGUGCAAUUCGGAAUCACAAAAUGAAGGAUGGAGGCAGCUGCAGUGUUCCCUUAAGGUGAAUAUGGCAGGGACUGGUGCUGCCAACACUCAUCCAGAUCUUCCAUCAGUGAUCUUGGGUCACU
ensembl:lncRNA